GACGCGCAGACAUACGGGAAAUUAUUUUUAAGCAAUAAUUUUUAAAGGAUUAAAAAGGUAAAUGGGAGACCAAGAACUACAAUUAAUUAAUGAAAUGAGAAAACUUAAAGUUCAUGUUUCAACUCUUGUAUGAAAUAAUUAAGCAGGUUUUUAUCCCAGUACUUGAAGUCCUGGAAAAAAAGACUGAGGAUGCACAUUGGUGGUGCCUAGCCAUUGACUUGAAAGCAAGGAAUUUGUGGAUCAUAGAUUCCUUCUACCCCGAGCCUUUCAGCACACAUGCUACGGAGGUUGAUAUUCUGCUACGUGGGGUUGAUGUGCUCUUCAGCCUUAGUAACUCAAAAUGGAUAACGGGAGAAAUAAGUGGUUGGAAAAAAUGCACAAUUGAGGUGUCAGGACCUUCAGAUGCGGCUUAAUGUGGUGUUUACAUGUUGGCCUACAUAAAGUUUUGUGCUGGAAGGUUCACAACUAUGUUCAGUGUGGGAAAGAUUCACAGUGCAAGGGAGAACUUAUUUAUGGACGACCUGCAAUGCGAAACUAAUGACUUGGUUGAUAACCUAGAGUCAAUGAUUCCCGCAGUUAGAAAAGACACUAAGGGGGAGAUAGGUGGAGUACGGGGAUAAAAUCAUCAUUGAGGCAUAUUCUGGUUGUUUGAUGAUAUGCUUAUUUUGAACAGUAUUUUAGGUGAUCACUGGUUUUUGAACAAUAUUGAUUAUGCAUUCAACUAACUAACUCAUAAUUCUAGAUAGCCUUGGUUAUAUUUAGCCUUUGAAUCUGUUUAUAAAUAGACAUUGUCAGUGGUACAGUUUGGGGGUCUUGUUUGUACCAUUGAUGGUAUUACUCCAAGUUAUUGUAGUUACUUGGUAGUUAGUGGGACAUAUUUGUAUCUAUUUUAGACAGUGGUACAAUAUUUUGACAUGUACACACAUGAAUGUACCACUUAUUAGGUACUUCAUGAUAUUUUACCUUUAGU